CCCCUCAAGAUGAGAUUUCCCAUAGCGUAAGCUAGUAAGAUCCCUGAAAGAUGAUCAGGUUGAUAGGUUCGAGGUGGAAGCAUGGUGACAUGUGGAGCUGACGAAUACUAAUAGAUCGAGGACUUAACCAUAUAA
rnacentral:rRNA from 1 species